rnacentral:rRNA from 1 species
UACGGAGGAUGCAAGCGUUAUCCGGAAUGAUUGGGCGUAAAGCGUCCGCAGGUGGCUAUGUAAGUCUGCUGUUAAAGAGUGAGGCUCAACCUCAUAAAAGCAGUGGAAACUACAUGGCUAGAGUGCGUUCGGGGCAGAGGGAAUUCCUGGUGUAGCGGUGAAAUGCGCAGAUAUCAGGAGGAACACCAGUGGCGAAGGCGCCGCUCUGGGCCGAGACUGACGCUGAGGAGCGAAAGCGUGGGUAGCAAACAGG